rnacentral:rRNA from 1 species
AGCGAACGCUGGCGGCAGGCUUAACACAUGCAAGUCGAGCGGGCAUCCUUGUGGUGUCAGCGGCAGACGGGUGAGUAACGCGUGGGAACGUGCCCUUCGGUUCGGAAUAACUCAGGGAAACUUGAGCUAAUACCGGAUACGCCCUUUUGGGGAAAGGUUUACUGCCGAAGGAUCGGCCCGCGUCUGAUUAGCUAGUUGGUGAGGUUAUGGCUCACCAAGGCGACGAUCAGUAGCUGUCUGAGAGGAUGAUCAGCCACACUGGGACUGAGACACGGCCCAGACUCCUACGGGAGGCAGCAGUGGGGAAUAUUGGACAAUGGGGGCAACCCUGAUCCAGCCAUGCCGCGUGAGUGAUGACGGCCUUAGGGUUGUAAAGCUCUUUUCUCCGGGACGAUAAUGACGGUACCGGAGGAAUAAGCCCCGGCUAACUUCGUG